AUAGGUCCUUUGGGGUCCUUUGGGGUCACUGUGACCCUAUAGAUCCUAUAGGUCCUUUGGGGUCUUCGGGGUCUCCUCGACCCUAUAGAUCCUAUAGGUCCUUUGGGGUCACCGUGACCCUAUAGAUCCUAUAGGUCCUUUGGGGUCCUUGGGGUCUCCUCGACCCUAUAGAUCCUUUGGGGUCUUUGGGAUCACUGCAGCCCUAUAGAUCCUAUAGGUCCUUUGGGGUCUUUGGGGUCCCCUUGGCCCUAUAGAACCAUUUGGGGUCCUAUAGAAUCUAUAGGAUCCUUAUGUUCCACUCGACCCUAUAGCUCCGUGCCUUCCCAGUCCCUCCCAGUUUAACCCAGCCCCUCCCAGUUUAACCCCAUAACCAGCCCCACACCCGGCCCUAUUGCCCCAUAACCAGCCCCUAUUGCCCCAUAGAUCCCAUAUAACCCAGUUACACCACAGCCCCACCCCAUAACCAGCCCCACACCCGGCCCUAUUAAUUACCCCAUAGAUCCCAUCCCCUCCCAGUCCCAUCCCAUAUAACCCAGUCAAACCAGUUACACCACAGCCCCACCCCAUAACCAGCCCCACAUCCGGCCCUAUUACCCCAUAGAUCCCAUAUAAACCAGUUCAGCCCCAUAGCUGCCCCACAUCCGGCCCUAUUACCCCACAUCCGCCCCUAUUACCCCAUAGAUCCCAUAUAGCCCAGUUACACCACAGCCCCACCCCAUAACCAGCCCCACACCCGGCCCUAUUAAUUACCCCAUAGAUCCCNCUAUUACCCCAUAGAUCCCAUAUAGCCCAGUUACACCACAGCCCCACCCCAUAACCAGCCCCACACCCGGCCCUAUUAAUUACCCCAUAGAUCCCCUUCCAGUCCCAUCCCAUAUAACCCAGUCAAACCAGUUACACCACAGCCCCACCCCAUAACCAGCCCCACAUCCGGCCCUAUUACCCCAUAUCCGGCCCUAUUACCCCAUAGAUCCCAUAUAACCCAGUUCAGCCCCAUAACCAGCCCCACAUCCGGCCCUAUUACCCCAUAUCUGGCCCUAUUACCCCAUAUCCGGCCCUAUUACCCCAUAUCUGGCCCUAUUACCCCAUAACCAGCCCCUAUUACCCCAUAGAUCCCAUAUAACCCAGUUACACCACAGCCCCACCCCAUAACCAGCCCCACAUCCGGCCCUAUUGCCCCAUAGAUCCCAUAUAACCCAGUUCAUCCCCAUAGUUACCCCAUAACCGGCCCCUAUUACCCCAUAGAUCCCAUAUAAACCAGUUCAGCCCCAUUGUUGCCCCAUAUCCGGCCCUAUUACCCCAUAGAUCCCAUAUAACCCAGUUCAUCCCCAUAGUUACCCCAUAACCGGCCCCUAUUACCCCAUAGAUCCCAUAUAACCCAGUUCAGCCCCAUAGCUGCCCCAUAUCCGGCCCUAUUACCCCAUAGAUCCCAUAUGACCCAGUAUAACCCCAUAACCAGCCCCUAUU
rnacentral:lncRNA from 1 species